AGGGUUUGAUUAUGGCUCAGAUUGAACGCUGGCGGCAGGCUUAACACAUGCAAGUCGAGCGGUAGCAGGGAGAAAGCUUGCUUUCUCCGCUGACGAGCGGCGGACGGGUGAGUAAUGUCUGGGGAUCUGCCUGAUGGAGGGGGAUAACUACUGGAAACGGUAGCUAAUACCGCAUAACGUCGCAAGACCAAAGUGGGGGACCUUCGGGCCUCAUGCCAUCAGAUGAACCCAGAUGGGAUUAGCUAGUAGGUGAGGUAAUGGCUCACCUAGGCGACGAUCCCUAGCUGGUCUGAGAGGAUGACCAGCCACACUGGAACUGAGACACGGUCCAG
rnacentral:rRNA from 1 species